rnacentral:rRNA from 1 species
CCUACGGGGAGCAGCAGUGGGGAAUAUUGCGCAAUGGGCGAAAGCCUGACGCAGCGACGCCGCGUGAGGGAUGAAGGUCUUCGGAUCGUAAACCUCUGUCAGCAGGGAAGAACGGUCACUGUGCUAAUCAGCAAUGAAUUGACGCUACCUGCAAAGGAAGCACCGGCUAACUCCGUGCCAGCAGCCGCGGUAAUACGGUGGGUGCGAGCGUUAAUUGGAAUUACGGGGCUUAAAGCGCUCGUAGGCGGUAUGUCAAGUCAAGGUUGAAAUCCCCGGGCUCAACGUGGGAACUGCCUGUGAAACUGGCAAACUGGAGUGUGUGAGAGGAUAGUGGAAUGCCAGGUGUAGGGGGGAAAUCCGUAGAUAUCUGGAGGAACAUCAGUGGCGAAGGCGACUAUCUGGCACAUAACUGACGCUGAGGAGCGAAAGCGUGGGUAGCAAACAGGAUUAGAUACCCCUGUAGUC